AGAUUGAACGCUGGCGGCAUGCUUUACACAUGCAAGUCGAACGGUAACAGGCCGCAAGGUGCUGACGAGUGGCGAACGGGUGAGUAAUGCAUCGGAACGUGCCCAGUCGUGGGGGAUAACGCAGCGAAAGCUGUGCUAAUACCGCAUACGAUCUAUGGAUGAAAGCGGGGGACCGAAAGGCCUCGCGCGAUUGGAGCGGCCGAUGUCAGAUUAGCUAGUUGGUGGGGUAAAGGCCCACCAAGGCGACGAUCUGUAGCUGGUCUGAGAGGACGACCAGCCACACUGGAACUGAGACACGGUCCAGACUCCUACGGGAGGCAGCAGUGGGGAAUUUGGACAAUGGGCGCAAGCCUGAUCCAGCAAUGCCGCGUGCAGGAAGAAGGCCUUCGGGUUGUAACCUCUUCAGCG
rnacentral:rRNA from 1 species